rnacentral:rRNA from 1 species
CCUACGGGAGGCAGCAGUGAGGAAUAUUGGUCAAUGGCCGAGAGGCUGAACCAGCCAAGUCGCGUGAGGGAAGACGGCCCUACGGGUUGUAAACCUCUUUUGUCGGGGAGCAAAGCGAGUCACGUGUGACUCAUUGAGAGUACCCGAAGAAAAAGCAUCGGCUAACUCCGUGCCAGCAGCCGCGGUAAUACGGAGGAUGCGAGCGUUAUCCGGAUUUAUUGGGUUUAAAGGGUGCGUAGGCGGGACCUUAAGUCAGCGGGAAAAUUGCGGUGCUCAACGCCGUAGAGCCGUUGAAACUGGGUUUCUUGAGUGAGCGAGAAGUAUGCGGAAUGCGUGGUGUAGCGGUGAAAUGCAUAGAUAUCACGCAGAACCCCGAUUGCGAAGGCAGCAUACCGGCGCUCAACUGACGCUGAGGCACGAAAGUGCGGGUAUCGAACAGGAUUAGAUACCCUAGUAGUC